rnacentral:rRNA from 1 species
UACGUAGGGGGCUAGCGUUGUCCGGAAUCAUUGGGCGUAAAGAGCGUGUAGGCGGCCCGGUAAGUCCGCUGUGAAAGUCCAGGGCUCAACCCUGGGAUGCCGGUGGAUACUGUCGGGCUCGAGUCCGGAAGAGGCGAGUGGAAUUCCUGGUGUAGCGGUGGAAUGCGCAGAUAUCAGGAGGAACACCAAUAGCGAAGGCAGCUCGCUGGGACGGUACUGACGCUAAGGCGCGAAAGCGUGGGGAGCGAACAGG